CGUCAGUGGGUUGUUUUUGGAACCAGGGCGCAGCAAUAAAGUUGCUAAAAAUCAAUUAUUUAAAAAAAUAAUUUCGUCUUGCGUCUUUAAAAAAAAGAGGGGCUGAUGGAAACAGGGCAGUGCAAUCCGCGCAUAUGCAUUUGGCAGGAGAGGCCAACCAAUGAUAUCGUAGUCUCGGGGUUCCUCCGCGUCAUUUUGGCGGUAAAGCCUCAGGUUUUGUAUGGAAAUUAUGAUCAUGAUGACAACGAGUCGCUGAUUCAGAGUGCAAUACGCUUAAGGGCAUUUAAAGAGUUUGGGAUGGGCUGACAUUUUCAAUUUUCAAUGUAUCGCAGGUAAUGUAGGAUUCCCGUCGAUUAAUUCACUUCAUUUACACAAAAAAAAAGUAUUAAAAUGUGAUUUGAUGCAUCUCAACAAUGAAGGCACACGCACGAGAAAGGCUGCAGAUCCUCCUGUCGAUGUGGCCAUGAACAGAUCGUGCUGAUGCAUCGACAGACCACUCAUCCAGGUAUCAUUUUUCAUACCUGAAUCCCAGGAGAUAAUUGCAGAGGAAAAAAAUUGCAGUCACCCAGAAAGGAGAAGAGUAUGUCAAAUUGGAAUGCUCUUUUAGAAUGCACAGAUGAUGGGAUGAAUAACUCGCUACUCUGCUCUCAUUUAAUGGCAACAUUGCAGGACCAUAUGCAAGUGACAUAAACAUUAGUGCUAUGGUGGAUAGAGAAAAAGGUUGUCUCAGGUUACAACAGAAUAUGGAUCAAUUGGAAAAUUGGGUAAGUUAGUGGAAUUUAACUCGUUCAAGGUGAUGUAUUUUGGAAAAUUAAACCGGAACAGGACAUACACAGUGAAAAGCAGAGCCUUGGGGAGUGUUAUUAAACUGAGGGACCUUGAGGUGCAUGUACAUAGUUCCUGAAAAUGGCAACCUAAUAGACAGGGUGGUGACAAUGGUAUAUGCCAUAAUUAUAUGAAACAUUUAAGUAUAAGAAUUGGACAUUCAUGUUAUAGUUGUACAAAAUGUUGGUUAUGCUGCACCUGGAACAUUUUAUGAAGUUCUGAUUGCCAAACUAAAGGAAGGAUGUGAUUAAGCUAAAGAGGGUGCAGAAUACAUACACAAGGAUGUCACCUGGAUCGUAAGACUUGUUUGGAGAGAUUGGGGAAUGGAGGAGGUUUAAAGGGGAUCUGAGAAUGUUUCACAUAGAGUAGUCUGAAUGAGCUGCCAUAAGAGGAGAUGGAGACAGGAACAGUACCAACAUGUAAGAGGCAUCUGGACGGGUACCUGAAUGAGAAAUGAGUGGGUGAUGAAAUUAAUGCAGGCAAGUGUGAUUGGUAUAGAUAGUCAUGCUGGCUGGCCUGUCUCUGUGCUGUGUGAAUACUUUGACUCUGUUUGCAGUACAAUAGUCUGAAUCUCAGCUAUGCUUGAAUGUGCAAAAGACUAAUUGUCUGUUUGCUGUUAGCAGCCUUGUGAUAGCCAAUAUCAGAUCAUCAUUGGAGCAUGAACACCCAUCUUGGGCAGACGGCACAUACGGCAGAGGCCAGUGACUCUCAAGGAAGUAGAAAAGAAAAUAAUCCUAAAAGAGACUCUGGAUGCGAGUUGGAAAAUUUGACCAGAUGACCAUUUUUUGCAUAACAAAUGAAAAAUAAAUAAAUAAAAACAGAAAACUACACAUGCUGUAAAUCUCCUGAUUCAGGAUCUGGACUCUCAACAGCAACUGUCCCUUUGCCCCCACGGAUGCUGCUUGACCUGCUGAGUUCUCCCAGCAGCUGCGGUCUCUUGUGCCUAUCAAUUUCAGUGUGACCUUGCUGUGAGUAUUACAGAUUUAUGUACAUUCGUGUUUCUACUAUACCACGUUUAGAGUAAAUGCAAAAUGAAAUUCAUCCAGUGCCAUUUCUCCAUGCAUUUUAUGGAACAUUACAACCAAUCUUGAUCUGCCUCUUUCUAGGUUGGGGGUUGGAUGAGUGACUGGUUGUUAUUUAAUUUUAUCUGCUUGGCUCUUAUUUUAUUUCCAAGGGUCAAUGACAGGGAAUGUUGCCGACUGGACUACUCCGGACUGCAGGAAUACAUGCUGAGGGACGCACUGAAGCUUGGUGCAGUCAACACCAAGGCUCUGCGGGGGACGGCCACUGUUCAGGGUCCUUUUGCAGCUGGACAUUGGGGGGCAGGGUGUUAUGAGACACCCCUCAAAUGAAAGAAAGAAUGUCACCCCAGGGGGCCACAGGAGUGGAAAGGGUGCCGGGUGAAAUAUUUGUGAACACUACAAUACGACGCAAAUGAAUGUAUUAAUAAUCUCUGAGAAUGUCGGAAGAAUUUUUGCACAGUUCUUGUUUUGUAGGUAUUUUUUAUUCCGAAUAAAGUUUUAUUUUAAUUUA